rnacentral:rRNA from 1 species
GAUGAACGCUGACAGAAUGCUUAACACAUGCAAGUCGAUGGGGAAGUGGUGCUUGCCCCAUGGCAACCAUGGCGGACGGGUGAGUAACGCGUAAGGGACUUACCUGCAGGACUGGGAUAACAGGGGGAAACUCCUGACAAGACCGGAUAAUGUCAUGGAGCUGCAUGGCUUUAUGAUGAAAGGAGACGCCUGCGGAGAGCCUUGCGUCCUAUUAGCUAGUUGGUGAGGUAAUGGCUCACCAAGGCGAAGAUAGGUAGCCGGCCUGAGAGGGUGGACGGCCACAAGGGGACUGAGAUACGGCCCUUACUCCUACGGGAGGCAGCAGUGGGAAUAUUGGACAAUGGGGGCAACCCUGAUCCAGCAAUUCUGUGUGCACGAAGAAGGUUUUCGGAUUGUAAAGUGCUUUCAGCAGGGAAGAAGUAAGUGACGGUACCUGCAGAAGAAGCGACGGCUAAAUACGUG